rnacentral:tRNA from 1 species
GCUAGUAUAGCUCAGUGGUAGAGCACAUGCCUAGCAUGCAUGAGGUUCUGGGUUCAAUCCACAGUACCUCCA